GAUGAACGCUGGCGGCGUGCCUAAUACAUGCAAGUCGAGCGAACAGACGAGGCGCUUGCUCCUCUGACGUUAGCGGCGGACGGGUGAGUAACACGUGGAUAACCUACCUAUAAGACUUGGAUAACUUCGGGAAACCGGAGCUAAUACCGGAUAAUAUAUUGAACCGCAUGGUUCAAUAGUUAAAGACGGUUUUGCUGUCACUUAUAGAUGCUUCCGCGGCGCAUUAGCUAGUUGGUAAGGUAACGGCUUACCAAGGCAACGAUGCGUAGCCGACCUGAGAGGGUGAUCGGCCACACUGGAAAUGAGACACGGUCCAGACUCCUAAGGGAGGCAGCAGUAGGGAAUCUUCCGCAAUGGGCGAAAGCCUGACGGAGCAACGCCGCGUGAGUGAUGAGGGUCUUCGGAUCGUAAAACUCUGUUAUUAGGGAAGAACAAAUGUGUAAGUAACUAUGCACGUCUUGACGGUACCUAAUCAGAAAGCCACGGCUAACUACGUG
rnacentral:rRNA from 1 species